rnacentral:rRNA from 1 species
UACGAAGGGUGCAAGCGUUACUCGGAAUUACUGGGCGUAAAGCGUGCGUAGGUGGUUUGUUAAGUCUGAUGUGAAAGCCCUGGGCUCAACCUGGGAAUGGCAUUGGAUACUGGCGAGCUAGAGUGCGGUAGAGGAUGGCGGAAUUCCCGGUGUAGCAGUGAAAUGCAUAGAGAUCGGGAGGAACAUCUGUGGCGAAGGCGGCCAUCUGGACCAGCACUGACACUGAGGCACGAAAGCGUGGGGAGCAAACAGG